GGCCUGUUGAUAUAUAAUUUUAGGUCUGGCCUGCCCAAUGAGAAUUUGAAUGGCCGCAGUAAUUUGACUGUGCAAAGGUAGCAUAAUCAUUAGUUUUUUAAUUAAAAGCUUGAAUGAAAGGCUGAAUGAAAGAAUUUCUGUCUCUGUAAAAAUUAGUUAAAAUUUUAUUUUUAAGUGAAAAAGCUUAAAUACACAUAGAAGACAAGAAGACCCUAUAGAAUUUUAUAUUUAAUAUGUAAGUAAAGCUUAGGUUGAAAAUUUUUAUUUAUUUAUAAAAUAUUUUGUUGGGGCGAUAGAAAAAUUAGAUAAACUUUUUAAAGGUUAAAACAUUUAUUUAUGAUUUUUUGAUCCUAAUAUUUAGAUUAAAAGAUUAAAUUACCUUAGGGAUAACAGCGUAAUUUUUUUUAGAGUUCUUAUCAAAAAAAAAGUUUGCGACCUCGAUGUUGGAUUAAAAUUUAAUUUUGGUGAAGAAGCUGAAAGUUUGGGUCUGUUCGACCUUUAAAAUUUUACAUGAUCUGAGUUUAAACCGGUGUGAG
rnacentral:rRNA from 1 species